rnacentral:rRNA from 1 species
GGUAGCACAGAGGACCUUGCUCCUUGGGUGACGAGUGGCGGACGGGUGAGUAAUGUCUGGGAAACUGCCCGAUGGAGGGGGAUAACUACUGGAAACGGUAGCUAAUACCGCAUAACGUCGCAAGACCAAAGAGGGGGACCUUCGGGCCUCUUGCCAUCGGAUGUGCCCAGAUGGGAUUAGCUAGUAGGUGGGGUAACGGCUCACCUAGGCGACGAUCCCUAGCUGGUCUGAGAGGAUGACCAGCCACACUGGAACUGAGACACGGUCCAGACUCCUACGGGAGGCAGCAGUGGGGAAUAUUGCACAAUGGGCGCAAGCCUGAUGCAGCCAUGCCGCGUGUAUGAAGAAGGCCUUCGGGUUGUAAAGUACUUUCAGCGAGGAGGAAGGUGUUGAGGUUAAUAACCGCAGCGAUUGACGUUACUCGCAGAAGAAGCACCGGCUAACUCCGUGCCAGCAGCCGCGGUAAUACGGAGGGUGCAAGCGUUAAUCGGAAUUACUGGGCGUAAAGCGCACGCAGGCGGUCUGUCAAGUCGGAUGUGAAAUCCCCGGGCUCAACCUGGGAACUGCAUCCGAAACUGGCAGGCUAGAGUCUUGUAGAGGGGGGUAGAAUUCCAGGUGUAGCGGUGAAAUGCGUAGAGAUCUGGAGGAAUACCGGUGGCGAA